rnacentral:lncRNA from 1 species
CACAACUCGAAACCUCUGAUCAUGUUCUGUAGAGUACACCCGCUCAACUGAUCCAAUGCAACCAAUACAGUAUUGGAAGCUUUCUACGAACAAGGCACCCAGAGAGGGCUCGGAGGAAGAUGACAGUGCCAACGGGCACAGGGAGAAUCGUGAGCUUACUGCACCUUCCCAGCAGGCAGAGUGAGCCCGUAGGACAAGAGCCCCCUUUCUCCGUUUCCCAUCUGCCCUGCAGCCCCGAGGAACGGUCCAUUCUACAGACAAGAGGCCUGACGCUCAGAAGCAAAGCAACUUGCCACAAUCGCAUCACCGUGUGUGUCUACUUCUGCCGGGCUCUCGCCCUCCCUCCUCACUCUGCAUGGUGCACACACCCUUAGUGGCUGUGCAUUUUCAGCUUGCUUCCUUCUUUUCUCUAAAAAUCUCCGCUUUGCUCUCCCUUUAUUUCGCCUUUCACGCACUGAGCAGCGAUUCGUUUCCUAUUCCACAUCGCCACCUGGCGGCCAUGGAGAGAGAACACCGCGCGUUUUUUAUCAAGCGGGCAAAGGCAGGGGAAUCCUCACGCCAAACGGGUUUGAAGACCUCUUCACACGGACGGCCAGGUCUCUACGGGACUCGCCCUUACACUAACUCCACUACAGCCCGCUCUGUCGGUGGAGGAAAUAGACGUGGAAGGCUUCCCUUCAUCACCUGGUGGCUGCCGGGCCACAUCCUGUACAAGCCGGGGCCAGCUCUAAGUCUACCCCAAAGCCUCAGCGUGCCUCUUCCCUCUAACUCAGGCGAAAGUACCUUCAAGACAGUCCUGGACGCGGUGGCUUCACGCCUGUAAUACCAGCACUUUGGGAGGCCAAGGCAAGAGGAUCACUGGAUCACUUGAGCCCAGAAGUUUGAGACUAGCCUGGACAACAUAGUGAAACCCCUGUCUUUACAAAAAUUGAUUAAUUAAUUAAUUGUUUAAAAGAGACUAUUCCUCAUUCUUUUGACAUCAUUUUAAAUGAGAAUGCAGAAUAUGACAUUGUACAUACUGAUAUUUGAUUCCUUUUAUAUAACCUUUCAUGUAUUAAAAAACUGCACUGAAAAUCUAGAAUUAAGUUAAAAUUGGUGUGGGUUAUUUGUGAAUGGUGGGAUUUUUUAAAUGUAUUCCAACACCCAUAUAUUCCAACUUUUCCACACUUCCAAAGUCUGGAAUACUUUGAGGAUGGGGAGGAAAGAUAUGUUUACGGUCCUUGGGAAACUGAAAAGCAUUUCCUGUGAUGUCCCAGGGAGCUGGGGCACAGGAGCCAGCCUUGAAGUGGAAACCCCAGGCCAUCCACUCACAAUCUGAGUAUCCUUGGGUGAGUGAUCUCUCUAACCUCCCAUCGAGUCCCCUGUAAACUAGAAAUAAUUAUAGCUGCCCACAUCACUGUCUUACUAUAAGAGUAAAAUGAGAUAAUGUAUUUUAAAACAUUGGUAUAGUGUGAGUAUUCAAUAAAUAUUCUUUGAGUGAAUUUAGUGCAUUGUUUUGUUUUGUUUUUUUGAGAUGGA